rnacentral:rRNA from 1 species
UAAAGCAAUUAAGGGCGUAUGGUGGAUGCCUUGGGUCUGAGAGGCGAUGAAGGACGUGGUAAGCUGCGAUAAGCCAGGGGGAACUGCACACGAGUAUUACAUCCCUGGAUCUCCGAAUGGGACAACCUGUUAUGUUGAAGACAUAACACUCGAAAGAGAGCCAACCCGCUGAACUGAAACAUCUAAGUAGGCGGAGGAAAAGAAAAUAACUAAUGAUUCCCUAAGUAGUGGCGAGCGAACAGGGAAGAGCCUAAACUUGUGGAGCGUGCUCCAUGAGGGUUGUAGGACUGCAUUUAGAAAUCAUCAUCAAGUUGAAUUUUUUGGAAAAUUAAGCCAUAGAGGGUGAUAGCCCCGUAAACGUAAAUUGAUGAGGACGCGCAGUAUCCUGAGUAGGGCGGGACCGGAGGAAUCCUGCUUGAAUCUGCCAGCACCAUCUGGUAAGGCUAAAUACUCCUCAGACACCGAUAGUGAACCAGUACCGUAAGGGAAAGGUGAAAAGCACCCUAAAUAAGGGAGUGAAAUAGUACCUGAAACCGUACGCCUACAAGCGGUCGGAGCAGCAUUUAUGCUGUGACGGCGUGCCUUUUGCAUAAUGAGCCUACGAGUUACUCCUCACUGGCGAGGUUAAGUUAUAAACAACGGAGCCGCAGCGAAAGCGAGUCCAAAUAGGGCGAUUAGUCAGUGGGGGUAGACGCGAAACUUUGUGAUCUAUCCAUGGGCAGGUUGAAGGUGUGGUAACACACACUGGAGGACCGAACGCGUUGACGUUGAAAAGUCUUGCGAUGACCUGUGGAUAGGGGUGAAAGGCCAAUCAAACUGAGAGAUAGCUCGUUCUCCCCGAAAUGUUUUUAGGAACAGCCUCGGAUUAUGAAGUCUGAUAGAGGUAGAGCUACUGAUUGGGCUAGGGGGCUUCACCGCCUACCAAACCCUGACAAACUCCGAAUGCUAUCAGAUAUCUCCGGGAGUGAGGCUACGGGCGCUAAGGUCCGUGGCCGAGAGGGAAAUAACCCAGAAUAGCAGCUAAGGUCCCCAAUAAUAGUUAAGUUAAUCAAACGAUGUAGAGUUUCUAUAACAGCCAGGAUGUUUGCUUGGAAGCAGCAAUUCAUUUAAAGAGUGCGUAACAGCUCACUGGUCGAGAGACUCCGCGCGGAAAAUAAUCGGGUAUAAACUAUUAACCGAAGCUCUAUGAUCGCCACUUAAGUGGAUGAUCGGUAGGGGAGCAUUGAAAUCUGCAUCGAAGGUGUGCGGCGACGCAUGCUGGAGCGGUUUCAAAAGAAAAUGUAGGCAUAAGUAACGAUAAAUAAGGUGAAAAACCUUAUCGCCGAAAGUCUAAGGGUUCCUGAUCAACGUUAAUCGGAUCAGGGUUAGCCCGGUCCUUAGUCAAACCCGAAAGGGGUAGACGAUGGAAAGCAGGUUAAUAUUCCUGCGCAUACUAUGCAUUAAAAGUGACGGAGAAUGCUAGGUGCCUAAGCUGACGGAUUAGCUGAGCGGAUCCUUCGGGUGAGGCGUAGCACUGAAUAUUCUUCCAAGAAAAGCGAGCAUAGUAUCCGGUACCGCAAACCGACACAGGUAGACGGGAUGAGUAUUCUAAGGCGCUCGGGUGAGCCGUGGAGAAGGAACUAGGCAAAUUGACGCUGUAACUUCGGGAUAAAGCGUACCAUCUUCGGAUGGUCUCAGUAAAAUGGUUCAACCAACUGUUUAACAAAAACAUAGGGCCCUGCAAAAUCGAAAGAUGACGUAUAGAGCCUGACACCUGCCCGGUGCUGGAAGGUUAAGGAAGGAUGUUCGACGCAAGUCAAAGCUUCUGACUGAAGCCCCAGUAAACGGCGGCCGUAACUAUAACGGUCCUAAGGUAGCGAAAUUCCUUGUCGGGUAAGUUCCG